rnacentral:rRNA from 1 species
AUUGAACGCUGGCGGAAUGCUUUACACAUGCAAGUCGAACGGCAGCACGGACUUCGGUCUGGUGGCGAGUGGCGAACGGGUGAGUAAUGUAUCGGAACGUGCCCAGUCGUGGGGGAUAACGUAGUGAAAAUUACGCUAAUACCGCAUACGAUCUAUGGAUGAAAGCGGGGGAUCGCAAGACCUCGCGCGAUUGGAGCGGCCGAUAUCAGAUUAGGUAGUUGGUGGGGUAAAGGUCCACCAAGCCAACGAUCUGUAGCUGGUCUGAGAGGACGACCAGCCACGCUGGAACUGAGACACGGUCCAGACUCCUACGGGAGGCAGCAGUGAGGAAUUUUGGACAAUGGGCGAAAGCCUGAUCCAGCCAUUCCGCGUGCAGGAUGAAGGCCCUCGGGUUGUAAACUGCUUUUGUACAGAACGAAAAGGUUUCUACUAAUACUAGGAGCUCAUGACGGUACUGUAAGAAUAAGCACCGGCUAACUACGUGCCAGCCGCCGCAGUAA